rnacentral:rRNA from 1 species
AACCCUUCAUAAGUAACAAUUGGAGGGCAAGUCUGGUGCCAGCAGCCGCGGUAAUUCCAGCUCCAAUAGCGUAUAUUAAAGUUGUUGCAGUUAAAAAGCUCGUAGUUAGAUUUCAGUUAUAUGUAUAUUUGGUAUCUUCGGGUAUCAUUUAUCAUUAACUUCUCCUUCCUUUACUAACGUAUUGGAAAUUUUACUUUGAGAAAAUUAGAGUGCUUAAAGCAGGCUUUUGCCAUGAAUACUCCAGCAUGGAAUAAUAAGAAAUGACUUUUAUUUUUCUUAUUGGUUCUAAAAUAAAAGUAAUGAUUAAUAGGAACAGUUGGGGGCAUUUGUAUUCAACAGUCAGAGGUGAAAUUCUUAGAUUUGUUGAAGACAAACUACUGCGAAAGCAUUUGCCAAGGAUGUUUUCAUUAAUCAAGAACGAAAGUUAGGGGAUCGAAGACGAUCAGA